rnacentral:rRNA from 1 species
GAUGAACGCUGGCGGCGUGCCUAAUACAUGCAAGUCGAGCGAACGGACGAGAAGCUUGCUUCUCUGAUGUUAGCGGCGGACGGGUGAGUAACACGUGGAUAACCUACCUAUAAGACUGGGAUAACUUCGGGAAACCGUAGCUAAUACCGGAUAAUAUUUUGAACCGCAUGGUUCAAAAGUGAAAGACGGUCUUGCUGUCACUUAUAGAUGGAUCCGCGCUGCAUUAGCUAGUUGGUAAGGUAACGGCUUACCAAGGCAACGAUGCAUAGCCGACCUGAGGGGUGGACCGGCCACACUGGAACUGAGAAACGGUCCAGACUCCUACGGGAGGCAGCAGUAGGGAAUCUUCCGCAAUGGGCGAAAGCCUGACGGAGCAACGCCGCGUGAGUGAUGAAGGUCUUCGGAUCGUAAAACUCUGUUAUUAGGGAAGAACAUAUGUGUAAGUAACUGUGCACAUCUUGACGGUACCUAAUCAGAAAGCCACGGCUAACUACGUG